CUCAGGACGAACGCUGCGCGGCGUGCUUAACACAUGCAAGUCGAACGAUGAAGCCUAGCUUGCUAGGUGGAUUAGUGGCGAACGGGUGAGUAAUACGUGAGUAACCUACCUUUAACUCUGGGAUAAGCCCGGGAAACUGGGUCUAAUACCGGGUACGACCAAUCUCCGCAUGGGGUGUUGGUGGAAAGCGUUAUGUAGUGGUUAUAGAUGGGCUCACGGCUUAUCAGCUUGUUGGAGAGGCAACGGCUCACCAAGGCGACGACGGGUAGCCGGCCUGAGAGGGUGACCGGCCACACUGGGACUGAGACACGGCCCAGACUCCUACGGGAGGCAGCAGUGGGGAAUAUUGCACAAUGGGCGCAAGCCUGAUGCAGCGACGCCGCGUGAGGGAUGACGGCCUUCGGGUUGUAAACCUCUGUUAGCAGGGAAGAAGAGAGAUUGACGGUACCUGCAGAGAAAGCGCCGGCUAACUACGUGCCAGCAGCCGCGGUAAUACGUAGGGCGCGAGCGUUGUCCGGAAUUAUUGGGCGUAAAGAGCUUGUAGGCGGUUUGUCGCGUCUGCUGUGAAAGGCCGGGGCUUAACUCCGUGUAUUGCAGUGGGUACGGGCAGACUAGAGUGCAGUAGGGGAGACUGGAAUUCCUGGUGUAGCGGCGGAAUGCGCAGAUAUCAGGAGGAACACCGAUGGCGAAGGCAGGUCUCUGGGCUGUAACUGACGCUGAGAAGCGAAAGCAUGGGGAGCGAACAGGAUUAGAUACCCUGGUAGUCCAUGCCGUAAACGUUGGGCACUAGGUGUGGGGGACAUUCCCCGUUUUCCGCGCCGUAGCUAACGCAUUUAAGUGCCCCCCCUGGGGAGUACGGCCGCAAGGCUAAAACUCAAAGAAAUUGACGGGGGCCCGCACAAGCGGCGGAGCAUGCGGAUUAAUUCGAUGCAACGCGAAGAACCUUACCAAGGCUUGACAUAUACUGGACCGCAUCAGAGAUGGUGUUUCCCUUCGGGGCUGGUAUACAGGUGGUGCAUGGUUGUCGUCAGCUCGUGUCGUGAGAUGUUGGGUUAAGUCCCGCAACGAGCGCAACCCUCGUUCUAUGUUGCCAGCACGUUAUGGUGGGGACUCAUAGGAGACUGCCGGGGUCAACUCGGAGGAAGGUGGGGAUGACGUCAAAUCAUCAUGCCCCUUAUGUCUUGGGCUUCACGCAUGCUACAAUGGCCGGUACAGAGGGUUGCGAUACUGUGAGGUGGAGCUAAUCCCUAAAAGCCGGUCUCAGUUCGGAUUGGGGUCUGCAACUCGACCCCAUGAAGUCGGAGUCGCUAGUAAUCGCAGAUCAGCAACGCUGCGGUGAAUACGUUCCCGGGCCUU
rnacentral:rRNA from 1 species